rnacentral:rRNA from 1 species
AGCUGACCCUGCUGGCGAACACUGCUAUUGAGGUUCGAUUAAGACAUGCGAGUCUAAGAGACAAAGUUACGGUUGUCUCUGGCAAACGGCUCGGUAACACGUGGGUAAUCUACCCUUAGGAGGAGUUAAUCCCGGGAAACUGGGGAUAAUGCUCCAUAGUCACAAUAUGCUGGAACGCUUUUGUGACCAAAUGUGUCAGCUCCAUACAGCUGCCGUGCCUAAGGAUGAGCCUGCGGCGGACUAGGUUGUUGGUGGGGUAACUGCCCACCAAGCCGACGAUCCGUACGGGCCUUGAAAGAGGUAGCCCGGAGAAGGGAACUGAGACACGGUCCCUAGUCCUACGGGAUGCAGCAGUCGCGAAACCUCUACAAUGCACGAAAGUGUGAUAGGGGGACCUCAAGUGCUUGUUCUACAAGCUUUUGCUAACUUUAAAACGGUUGGCGAAUAAGUGGAGGGCAAGAUACGUGCCAGCCGCCGCGGUAACACGUACUCCGCAAGUGGUGUUCACUAAUAUUGGGCCUAAAACGUCUGUAGCCGGUUCAGUAAGUCUUCGGUUAAAUCGGCAAGCUUAACUUGUCACAUGCCAAAGAUACUGCUGAACUCGAGACCGGGAGAUGUGAAGGGAAUUUCCGGGGUAGCAGUGAAAUGCUAUGAUCCCGGAAGGACCACCAGUAGCGAAGGCGCUUCACAAGAACGGUUCUGACGGUGAGAGACGAAAGCUGGGGGAGCAACCCGGAUUAGAUACCCGGUUAGUCCCAGCCGUAAACGAUGUGGACUAGGUGUUCUGUUACCAUAAGGUACUGGAGUGCCACAGCGAAGGCGUUAAGUCUACUGCCUGGGGAGUAAGGUCGCAAGGCCGAAACUUAAUGGAAUUGGCGGGGGCGCACUACAAGGGGUGGAUGCUGCGGUUUAAUUGGAUUCAACCCCAGACAUCUCACCAGGACCGACAGCAGAAUGAUGGACAGUCUGAAGGGCUUUCCUGACGCGCUGAGAGGUGUUGCAUGGCCAUCGUCAGCUCGUACUAUGAAGCGUCCUGUUAGCUCAGGCAACGAGCGAGACCCACACUCUUAGUUGCUAUUCACCUAUUAGGUGGAGCACUCUAAGGGGACUGCUUGCGUAAGCAAGAGGAAGGAGUGGGUAACGGUAGGUCUGUAUGGCCCGAAUGUCCUGGGCGACACGCGGCAUACAAUGGUUGAGACAACGAGUUUCGAACCCGAAAGGGCAAGGCAAUCCCCUAACCUCAACCUCAGUUCGGAUUGAGGGUUGUAACUCACCCUCAUGAAGCUGGAAUCCCCAGUAAUCGUGUGUCAUUAUCGCACGGUGAAUAAGUCCCUGCGCCUUGCACACACUGCCCAUCAAGCCAGCUGAGUAGGGUUUGGAUGAGUUUUUCUCAUACGAGGAAAGCGAUUCUAAGUCUUGUAAGGCGGGCUAAGUUGUAACAAGGUG